rnacentral:rRNA from 1 species
AUGGUUCGCGGAUCGCUCGGGAGGUUGGCGUCGCGCACCCUCUCCGUCGCCGGCAAAUGGCAGCACCAGCAGCUCCGCCGUCUCAACAUCCACGAGUACCAGGGCGCGGAGUUGAUGGGGAAGUUCGGGAUCAACGUGCCCAAGGGCGCCGUGGUGGGGUCAGUGCAGGAGGUCAAGGAAGUUUUGAAGAACGUUUUCCCCAGUGAGAAAGAGAUAGUUGUGAAAAGCCAAAUCCUUGCCGGUGGCCGUGGAUUGGGAACUUUCAAAAGUGGACUGAAGGGUGGUGUUCAUAUUGUUAAGGCUGAGGAGGCUGAAAGCCUUGCAGCAAAAAUGCUUAACCAGGUCCUGGUAACAAAACAAACUGGUCCACAGGGGAAGGUUGUGGGCAAGGUCUACUUAUGCGAGAAAAUGUCACUUGUUAAUGAGAUGUACUUUGCGAUCACCCUUGACAGGAAGACUGCUGGUCCACUCAUUAUAGCUUGCGCCGAGGGAGGAACGAGCAUUGAAGAUCUUGCAGAGAAGUUCCCUGAUAAGAUCGUUAAGGUUCCUGUUGAUGUAUUCAAGGGAAUCACUGAUGAGGAUGCAGCUAAAGUUGUUGAUGGUCUGGCACCAAAGACAGCAGACAGGCAAUCUUCUAUAGAACAGAUUAAGAAGCUAUAUGAACUUUUCUGCAAGACCGACUGCACAAUGCUGGAGAUAAAUCCUCUUGCUGAGACAGCUGAUAAAAAGCUAGUUGCUGCUGAUGCAAAGUUGAACUUCGAUGAUAAUGCUGCGUUUAGGCAGAAAGAAAUAUUUGCACUGCGUGAUACAACACAGGAGGACCCCAGAGAGGUGGCUGCUGCUAAAGCAGAUUUGAACUACAUCGGGCUUGAUGGAGAGAUUGGUUGCAUGGUGAAUGGUGCAGGAUUGGCAAUGGCUACGAUGGACAUCAUUAAGCUGCAUGGUGGUACACCUGCCAAUUUUCUUGAUGUUGGUGGUAGUGCAUCCGAGGGACAGGUUGUGGAAGCAUUUAAGAUAUUGACUUCAGACGAUAGAGUGAAGGCAAUUCUAGUGAACAUUUUUGGAGGUAUCAUGAAAUGUGACGUGAUAGCAAGUGGAAUAGUGAAUGCAGCUAAACAGGUUGAUCUUAAGGUCCCUGUUGUUGUUCGGCUAGAAGGCACCAAUGUAGACCAAGGGAAAAGGAUUCUUAAGGAGAGUGGAAUGACAUUGAUCACUGCAGAGGAUCUUGAUGAUGCUGCAGAGAAGGCUGUAAAAGCAUCAGUCAAAUGA